GUGGGGAAUAUUGGGCAAUGGGCGAAAGCCUGACCCAGCGACGCCGCGUGGGUGAUGAAGGCCUUCGGGUCGUAAAACCCUGUCAUGCGGAAAGAAAGACCCGGGCUCUAACAUAGCUCGGGUUUGACGGUACCGCAGGAGGAAGCCCCGGCUAACUCCGUGCCAGCAGCCGCGGUAAUACGGAGGGGGCGAGCGUUAUUCGGAAUUAUUGGGCGUAAAGGGCAGGUAGGCGGCUUCGUGUGUCCUUUGUGAAAGCCCUCGGCUCAACCGAGGAAUUGCAUGGGAAACUGCGGGGCUUGAGUCCGGGAGAGGGUAGUGGAAUUCCCAGUGUAGCGGUGAAAUGCGUAGAUAUUGGGAGGAACACCAGUGGCGAAGGCGGCUACCUGGACCGGUACUGACGCUAAACUGCGAAAGCUAGGGGAGCGAACGGGAUUAGAAACCCGUGUAGUCC
rnacentral:rRNA from 1 species